rnacentral:rRNA from 1 species
CCCUUAGAUGUUCUGGGCCGCACGCGCGCUACACUGACGAAUGCAACGAGCUUAUAACCUUGGCCGAAAGGUCUGGGUAAUCUCCAAAUUUCGUCGUGAUGGGGAUAGAUUAUUGCAAUUAUUAAUCUUCAACGAGGAAUGCCUAGUAAGCGCAAGUCAUCAGCUUGCGUUGAUUACGUCCCUGCCCUUUGUACACACCGCCCGUCGCUCCUACCGAUUGAAUGGUCCGGUGAAGCGUUCGGACCGUGGCCUUUGGACGGUUCGCCGUCGAUUGGCUGUGGGAAGUUCGUUAAACCUUNUNAUUUAGNGGAAGGAGAANUCGUANCA